UGCAUGCUGGGAAAUAAUUUUGUUGCUAGGAGACCGUAAACCUCAUUCGGUGACGGUACAGCGCUUUGUAGCUAGUUUGACAAAGCUCUAAACACUAAGGCAGUUUAAUUAUUAUUUUGAGAGAACAAUAAGAUAUUCUGGUGCUGAAUAUUUGAUUCGAUAGCCUGCUUAAAUACAAGGUGACUGCAAUCACAACACUGUCAUCAGGCAUCAACGAAGUUGAAAACGUUUUCUAACUUAACGGGACGAGAAUAUGGACUCAACUGCGAGGGGCGCGCAGCCGAUCCUCCCUGCCCAAAGAAGUGCUAGUGGCUCCCCAGAGCUGCUGCAAAAGCUUCCUGAACUACAGAAGCCCCCUGACCCACCAAAGCCUCCAUUCAGAGAUCCCCAGGGUGUGUUGAAGAGAUGUGUAAAACGAAACGAGCCCAGUGUUCUACAUUUAAAAGCUCGCGAAGAGAUGAUUUUUCCAGGUUGGUACACAGAGCCACAGUCAUCUAAAAGUCUGGAGCAACGGCGCCGUGAAGUUAUCGACCUAACUUCUCAGCCAUCCUCUAAAGAUGCCACUGACCAACAGGUAUUAGACGAUAAUAUGUAUGAAAAAAGCCUACUAUGAGCUUUAAUUUGUAUCAUAUUUGCUACAUCAGCAUUUGUGGCAAUUUGUUGCUUAAUACUGUGUUGUACAAUUUAUUUAGUUUGGUUUGUUUGGGGGGUUUUUUUUAGAAGGUGCCUCUUACAGUGAUAAUGUAAACGUCUCAAAACUAUCAAAUAUUCACCUGGGAUUAAGGGUUUAAGGGAUUCAUU
ensembl:lncRNA